rnacentral:lncRNA from 1 species
CGGCCUUCUCUCCUGAUCGGAUCUGAAGUGCUCCCUUUGCUUUGUCCCCAUUCAACCUGCACUUUGGAGUUUCUGUUACUUGCGAUUACCUUUGAAUCCGCCGACGUCAGCGGGAAAAAAAAAGGGAAAUCGGAGCGAAAAGCCGUCUGUCAAACGUCCCGCUGUCAUAUUUGUCCAUGUCGCGGCUCUGCUGAGCCAACAGAAACAUCAAGCAGCACGUUUUGGAUCGUUCCGCCAGGAGCGACUGACGCUCCGGGCUGAGCACGUGAUUUUAGAGAGACUCAGGGAACUAUUUUAGGGAACUAGCCUCCUAAAUAGGGCGGCGGGAGCUCAGCCUGUUGGGGCUGAGGACUGGAGGGUUCCCUGUUCCAGCCCCAGAACUGACAAAACAUGGAAGGUGUUCCGGUACGGAGAGGCGCCAGAGCACUACCCAGGUCAUCUCAGACAAAAAGAGGAACCAAACUCCAGAACCGCAGGCCCCUCGUUGGCUCCGUGACAGGGACACGAUGGCGGAACGUGUGCGAUAUGUCGUCGGGCUCGGGACGGGGCGGCCUCCGUCCUCUCUGCGAGCUGACUGAUCACAUUAAUAUUAGCCGAAGCUCUUCUGUCAGCGAGGGGAGUUAUGGCCCGGCAAAAAGGGACCUCGGGUCGGAACGGGCGUCCGGUGACAGGGAGUCGGCUCGGGGGAUGAAUCCGAGUUCUGGAAACGAGAAGAGACAGAACAUCCUCGGUCCCCAACGAGGAUCGCUAACCCUCAGCACCUUAAGCUAGCAAAGGAACAUCCGAUGGAUUCCAUAAGGUUCCCUCCUGAGAUCCUCUGACACGUUUGAUCCAUGUGAAUCCCCCAACCCCAAAAUGAUCUACAACAUCUGCCGUUCUCCGUCCGAAAGGGAACGUUUUCCCUCUUCAGAUGUCGUCAUGUCUGAAAUUACUGAGCGCUCUCUUCAUUGUUCCACCGGAUUUGGUUUCUGGUCGUGUUCAGCCGUACCAAACGAGGGAAAGUUCUCAUCGUUCCCUGAUUUAUGGACGUUGUUCCGUGAGCUCCGAUGAGGUAACCGCUCCUUCAUCUUCAAUAUCACUGAGGUCGGGCUCUGAAACCCUUAAAAACCUUUAGCCCCGCCCCCAAAUUAGCUGG